AAGACGGGGUGCGCACCUGUGCGAACUGUUUUUUUUUGGUGGGGGCUCAGUUAGCUGGUGCGGAGCGUGGGGGUAGACCUAGGCGGCGGAGGGGUGGCGGCCGGGCGUAGCAGGCAGCGCGGGAGGAGGGGCACAGAGGCUCAGGAGGCGCACGUCGAACGGCUGCGGCUCCGGGUCCGGCGGCGCGAGGCCCUAGCGCGGCCGGCAGAGCUCGCGCACGGCGGCUGACGCUGCCCGACGAGCCGUGUGAGGCGCGGCGGUGCCGUUGUCCACCAUCCUGCUCCUCUCCCACCACCUCUGUCGCCUCCUCGACCAUCCUCCUCCUCCUCUCCUUCCACCUCCGCCGUCUCCUCGGUCAUCCUCAUGCUCUCCCUCCACCUCCGCCGCCUCCUCCCCUGCCCCUACUGCCCCUGUAUAGCCUGAUGUGUGGCCUCCUGCUCCCGAAGUGUGGCGGAUGGCUAAGGAAGAAGGAGCGUAGGACCAAUGUACCAGCAACGACGUCAGCGGGUUGUAGCUGGUGGAACGGGGCUAAUCGAGAACCUAUGCGCCUGCUGGCCUACACGAGGUCGCGCCGGCGGAUACCCGAAGAGGGUGCUACUUAGCUGUUGAUUCGAGCCCCUGCACUAUACCACGAGGCACAUCCACCGGUACCACCUGGACUUCGACCGAAUCUAUUCGCUACCCUAGCUCGCCGCCGCGAGGGCUAGACUAGCCCUCGUCCUGCUGCCGCCGCUCGUGUACCGGCUGCUCUCCUCGUCCUCCCCUCCGCGCCUCCGCCCCGGUAUACGCAGCCUGCGCGCGCAAGCAGGCGUCAGUUGCGCCUGUGUCGCCGGCAGGUACCGCCGAGCCCAGCUACAUCCUCCUGCUCCCCUCCUCGAGCGUUCCGGGCCGUGGCCAUUACCUCGCCUCCGCCGACCUAGACCGCUAAGACCUCCCCGACCGCUGCUCGCCGAGGUACCCGCCGCUGGACGCCCCAAGUUCGCCGCCGACUUCCAUACUCGCUAGACCAAAGGGGAAAACAACAAGAUAUGCUCCUACUAGGUCUACGGAAAACCACAAAACUCUACGAUGACUCUUCCUACCAUUAAACAUAGAUACAGUUUGGUAUGACCGUAUACAAUCCAACCAUAAAAACGUACUGAAUUACGUACUAUAUUUAAGACAACGUAGAGUCGCACUUUUAAAGGUAGAGCUCCCUGGCUGUCCUCAAUACUUCGCCAACCUUCGUAACACCUUCUAGUACUUUAACUGUCUAUGCCUUGAUUAUUUGACAAUUCCUAGUUUGUCCGUUUACCUCAGGAUUAAAAGAUAACCUUCAAGUGUACUGUACCAAGAUACAAACUCCGAAGUUGUCUGACGCAUACGGAGUUCUAAACUCCACACUCACACGCUGAACUAAAAGACACAACAAUGUCAAUUAGCCAUUACCUAUUUAGUUUAAAACAAUACAUCUAACCAUUUUGAUUAAUUCAAUUAAAAAAGAAUAAAUACCCAAUAUUAAAUAAUGAGGUUUUCGUCUAAACACAUACAAUUUAUCUAAAAGUAUCCCUAUAUUCUGAUCUUCACACCUACAAACAGUUAAAAGUCUCCCUUUAUUCGUUGUCUUAUCUGUAUUUUUGUACCGACGAAACCCUUUAAAACCUACAAUGGGUACGAGUACGUACUACCAUCAACAACGCUUCUAGUAGAAUAGAUAGGUAGUACUUAGUAGGGUCGUGUUGUUUAACAGAUAAAUCAAGUAGUGUUUGUGGUCAUAGUGCCCCUAUUACCUCCAUUUAGUUUCGAGUUACGACUUGGGAACCAUGUAGGAGGUACAAUACAAUCCUGUUCUUUUGUUGGGUUCCCCGUGGUUUGGUAAAGACGAGGCGAUCGAAGUCUAAAAAACAAAAACGUAUUAAUUCUACUGUUCAAACGUCUGUAUGCUAUGAUCGAUCGAUUAAAAUU
rnacentral:rRNA from 1 species